GAUGAACGCUGGCGGCGUGCCUAAUACAUGCAAGUCGAGCGAACGGACGAGAAGCUUGCUUCUCUGAUGUUAGCGGCGGACGGGUGAGUAACACGUGGAUAACCUACCUAUAAGACUGGGAUAACUUCGGGAAACCGGAGCUAAUACCGGAUAAUAUUUUGAACCGCAUGGUUCAAAAGUGAAAGACGGUCUUGCUGUCACUUAUAGAUGGAUCCGCGCUGCAUUAGCUAGAUGGCAAGGUAACGGCUUACCAAGGCAACGAUGCAUAGCCGACCUGAGAGGGUGAUCGGCCACACUGGAACUGAGACACGGUCCAGACUCCUACGGGAGGCAGCAGUAGGGAAUCUUCCGCAAUGGGCGAAAGCCUGACGGAGCAACGCCGCGUGAGUGAUGAAGGUCUUCGGAUCGUAAAACUCUGUUAUUAGGGAAGAACAUAUGUGUAAGUAACUGUGCACAUCUUGACGGUACCUAAUCAGAAAGCCACGGCUAACUACGUG
rnacentral:rRNA from 1 species